UGGGGAAUAUUGGACAAUGGGCGCAAGCCUGAUCCAGCCAUGCCGCGUGUGUGAAGAAGGCCUUUUGGUUGUAAAGCACUUUAAGCGGGGAGGAGGCAACUUGGGUUAAUACCCCGAUGUUGCGGACGUUACCCGCAGAAUAAGCACCGGCUAACUCUGUGCCAGCAGCCGCGGUAAUACAGAGGGUGCGAGCGUUAAUCGGAAUUACUGGGCGUAAAGCGCGCGUAGGCGGCUUGUUAAGUCGGAUGUGAAAUCCCUGGGCUCAACCUAGGAACUGCAUUCGAUACUGGCAAGCUAGAGUGUGGGAGAGGAAGGUAGAAUUCCAGGUGUAGCGGUGAAAUGCGUAGAGAUCUGGAGGAAUACCGAUGGCGAAGGCAGCCUUCUGGCCUAACACUGACGCUGAGGUGCGAAAGCAUGGGGAGCAAACAGG
rnacentral:rRNA from 1 species